rnacentral:lncRNA from 1 species
UCCCCUCAUGUCAUGGGAGGGACCCAGUGGGGGGUAAUUUAAUCAUGGGGGCAGUUACACUCAUGCUGUUCUCAUGAUAGUGAGUAAGUUAUCACGAGCUCUGAUGGCUUUAUAAGGGGCUUUCACCCUUUUGCUUGGCACUUCUCCUCGCUGCCAGCAUGUGAAGAAGGAUGUGUUUGCUUCCCCUUCCACCAUGAUUAGCGUGCUGGCCCUUCUCAAAGUGUCCCAUGAAAAAGUUAUUCCACACCUCCUCCCUGACCUUGUCGUGCAGACGCUUCCAGGAUGAACUCCAACUCGCCGAGCCACCGCAGCUCCUCAGCUGACUAAAAGAGUUAAUGAUCCUCCAGGUUAAAACUCCUCCUUGAGCACACACCUUCUCUCAACAAAUGACAAUACUUGGCAAACUGAACUCCUCCCACGAGUCGCCCUCUGCUAGGAGGAAUUGCUGGCUGCUCCCUGCUUAUUGCAUUCUCUCAGAGCAGCUGUCUCAAAGGAGGCUGCUCCCAUGCCGAUCUUUUUGUGCCCAACUUACAGGGAAAGAACUCAUUGCCUGCCCAGUGCCUGCCAGCCUCAGACUUCUGACUGCAAAUCCAACAGGACAAUACAGAGUUGGCAGGACCCUUCUCAGGAGUGAGGAGCGGGUGCAAGAACUCCCAGGUCACUGCUUUAUUCAGAGGACCUAAGGAAUUGGGUUGAGCGGAAGCGCACAGAGCUGCAGAUUUUCUUUGAUGAAUGAAAGCUUCAAUCCACAGGUUUCUAAUAGUACUCUCAUUCAUUUUGCUUACAAAAGGUACAGAUUAUCACUAAUCCUCUUCAAAAGGUAUUUGUAAUCACAUUUCCUUGUAUAUGCAAAAAAAAUUCUAUUUAAAGUGUAUGUGAAAUUAAGUUUACUUUUUUGAAACACAUGUAGAAAAAGAACAAAGGUAUCAUCAAACUAGUCUAUGUAGUCUCCUUUCACUAAAAUAUUGAUGGUUCAACACUUAAGGAAGUCUAGAAAUAA